rnacentral:tRNA from 1 species
UGCCCCCGAAGAGAAACGAACUCUUGACCCCUUGUUCACCAGACCAGUGCUCUUACCACUGAGCUACGAGGGC